rnacentral:sRNA from 1 species
UUCUCAUUCCUGGGCACCGAAGCUCUCUGCUCAUAUCAUGGCUAUGGCAGGAAAACGCAGACUUCCCCAUCCAAGCCUGCUGCUGUGCCUUGAUCCGGAACAGGAGGGGCUCACCUCCAGAGGUGGGGAGGGUAUUUCAGUCUCCAUGGUUCAUUCAGUCUCUGGCCUCU